rfam:Otolemur garnettii contig008341, whole genome shotgun sequence.
GUGCCAAGCCGGCAAUAUUUUUCAAUAGCAGUUCACCUAGUGAAUGUUGAUACUUUGGGUUUCAGUGG